AACGCUGGCGGCGCGCCUAAUACAUGCAAGUCGAACGGAAACCUUCGGGUUUUAGUGGCGAACGGGUGAGUAACACGUAAGCAACCUGCCUUUAAGACGUGGAUAACAAUUGGAAACAGUUGCUAAGACAGGAUAGGAAAUUAAGAGGCAUCUUUUAAUUUUUAAAAGACCUUUUUCGAAAGGUAUACUUAAAGAGGGGCUUGCGCCACAUUAGUUAGUUGGUAAGGUAAAGGCUUACCAAGACGAUGAUGUGUAGCUGGACUGAGAGGUCGAACAGCCACAUUGGGACUGAGACACGGCCCAAACUCCUACGGGAGGCAGCAGUAAGGAAUUUUUGGCAAUGGAGGAAACUCUGACCGAGCGACGUCGCGUGAACAAUGAAGUACUUCGGUAUGUAAAGUUCUUUUAUUGAAAAAGAAAAAAUAGUGGAAAAACUAUCUUGACAUUAUUCAAUGAAUAAGCCCCGGCUAAUUAUGUGCCAGCAGCCGCGGUAAUACAUAAGGGGCGAGCGUUAUCCGGAAUUAUUGGGCGUAAAGGGUGCGUAGGCGGUUUGAUAAGUCUAUAGUUUAAAUGCAGUGCUUAACGCUGUAGCGCUAUAGAAACUGUCUGACUAGAGUUAGAUAGAGGCAAGCGGAAUUCCAUGUGUAGCGGUAAAAUGCGUAAAUAUAUGGAGGAACACCAGAGGCGUAGGCGGCUUGCUGGGUCUUAACUGACGCUGAGGCACGAAAGCGUGGGGAGCAAACAGGAUUAGAUACCCUGGUAGUCCACGCCGUAAACGAUGAGUACUAAGUGUCGGGUUUCGGCUCGGUACUGAAGUUAACACAUUAAGUACUCCGCCUGAGUAGUACGUACGCAAGUAUGAAACUUAAAGGAAUUGACGGGACCCCGCACAAGCGGUGGAUCAUGUUGUUUAAUUCGAAGAUACACGAAAAACCUUACCAGGUCUUGACAUAAUUUUGCGACAUUAUAGAAAUAUAAUGAAGGUUAUCAGAAUUACAGGUGGUGCAUGGUUGUCGUCAGCUCGUGUCGUGAGAUGUUAGGUUAAGUCCUAAAACGAGCGCAACCCUUGUCGUUAGUUGCGACCACGUAAUGGUGAGCACUUUAGCGAGACUGCCAAUGAAAAAUUGGAGGAAGGUGAGGAUUACGUCAAAUCAUCAUGCCCCUUAUGAUCUGGGCUACAAACGUGAUACAAUGGCUGUUACAAAGAGUAGCUACAACGUGAGUUUUUAGCCAAUCUCAAAAAAACAGUCUCAGUUCGGAUUGAAGUCUGCAACUCGACUUCAUGAAGUUGGAAUCGCUAGUAAUCGCGAAUCAGCAUGCCGCGGUGAAUACGUUCUCGGGGUUUGUACACACCGCCCGUCAAACCACGAAAGUUGAUAAUACCCGAAAGCGGUCGCCUAACUUCGUCAGAAGAGGGAGCCGUCUAAGGUAGGAUCGAUGAUUGGGGUUAAGUCGUAACAAGGUAUCCCUACCGGAAGGUGGGGAUGGAUCA
rnacentral:rRNA from 1 species